rnacentral:rRNA from 1 species
AUUGAACGCUGGCGGCAGGCUUAACACAUGCAAGUCGAGCGAGCGGCGGACGGGUGAGUAAUGUCUGGGAAACUGCCUGAUGGAGGGGGAUAACUACUGGAAACCGUAGCUAAUACCGCAUACCAUCAGAUGUGCCCAGAGGGUAUUAGGUAGUUGGUGAGGUAAAGGCUCACCAAGCCGACGAUCUCUAGCUGGUCUGAGAGGCUGACCAGCCACACUGGGAGUGAGACACGGCCCAGACUCCUACGGGAGGCAGCAGUGGGGAAUAUUGCGCAAUGGGGGCAACCCUGACGCAGCCAGGCCGCGUGAAUGAAGAAGGCCUUCGGGUUGUUAAGUUCUUUCGGUAGCGAGGCGUUAACUACAGAAGAAGCACCGGCUAACUCCGUGCCAGCAGCCGCGGUAAUUC